rnacentral:rRNA from 1 species
GACGGAGGAUGCAAGUGUUAUCCGGAAUCACUGGGCGUAAAGCGUCUGUAGGUGGUUUAAUAAGUCAACUGUUAAAUCUUGAGGCUCAACCUCAAAAUCGCAGUCGAAACUAUUAGGCUAGAGUAUAGUAGGGGUAAAGGGAAUUUCCAGUGGAGCGGUGAAAUGCGUAGAGAUUGGAAAGAACGCCGAUGGCGAAGGCACGUUACUGGGCUAUUACUAACACUCAGAGACGAAAGCUAGGGUAGCAAAUGGG